UGGUUCCGCCAUUUAUAAAAGCGCUUCCUGCAGCAGUUAUGUAUAGAUUGGUAUAAAUAUAAAUGUAUGAAGUAUACGUUUACAAAGUUGUCUGUAAACAAAGUGUAAUAAUAUUUACCGUGUAUUGGAGUGUAUAUAACGACGGAAAUAAAGAAUAAUAAGAAAAAUCAUCAUAGAGAACAUACAGAAUUAACAUUUAAGUUUGGAACGUUAGUUCAAAUGCCUGAUUACUCAGCCAAGGGAUGCAGAAACAAGUCAAAGAGUGGCCAUAGUUGUACACACAGGUCUGUUAACUGCUGUAAAGGAGAUAAGGUUCUUAAUGUCGCAAGAUGUACUUUACCAAUCGGCCACCAUUGAACACUGCGAUCGAGUAGCUAGGGUUUUGUGUUUGGCGCCAUUCUUCGGUGAAAGCACUAAAGACGUAGCAGUAUAUGCACCACUGCGAACAGGCAGUACAUUGACAGAGAUUAUAGAAGUAGCAUUGGCAACUACUACUUAUGAACCAAAUAACAGGCAAACAAAAAUAAUUCCGCAAGACUUUCUUGACAAAAUCAGAGGAAAAAAGAUUCACUUUCUGCGUACGAGAAUUCCAACUAUUUCCUAUGGAAAGCCACGAACAAAAUAAAGGAGCCAAUUAAACUAAUCCCAGCAAUCAGAUUAACGGACAACACAUGAGCCAGAAGCAACGAAGAGCAAGCUGAAGAAUUUUCCAACCACCUUUGUUGAAGUUAUCUCUUCGAGGAACGCGUGAUGAAUGUGUAACAGAAAUAUAUUUAAGUAUAAGUGUAACUCGUUACAUUACAACAGAGCUUCGAAGCCAUGAGUCUAUGGGUAUUUAUAUAAUUACGAAAACUGGCCGGUCUAUAUAUACCCUGCUGCACCAUCUGUGCAUGGCAUAUUCCUAAAAAAGGCUAUGAGACUGAGAGGCCCUUCAAAUUGAUUUAGAGCUAAACAAUACUCAAUAGCAUCGGGGACUAAGAGAACUAAACGCUAGAGAAGAUGUAGUUUUCCUAGAAACCUAAUUUUUGUCGUAAAUAUUGAAAUCUUGGUUUCGGUAACGCCUUCGUAAAUAUAUCUGCUUGUUACGUCCGGCGACUCUCUACACAAAGCAGACUCCACGCCACAACCAUACCGUCGACCGAUGGGUCCGCGGUAGAAAACGGUAACAAGGAAGAAUGGCCGCAGGAAAUCCCUGACUCCUAAAGCCGCGAGCAAGGUGGUUGGAGCGGAGGAAGCGGCGAUUGAAGCCAUGAACUUAGGUGAUUAAGAUUAAGGGUACGCACCCUCCAGAACAAUCUGGGACAGUCAAGACCUGCUUUUCCAAACCAUUCUGGAGAGCACGGUUGCCCUAGCGGUGGUGGCCGAGCCAUACAGAGUCCUGGACGCUCCGGACUGCGCCGGAGAUACAGACGGCUGUCACCUGGACAUCAGCGCCGGCAUCGUCCGCCCACAGGGAUCCUCUGGAGCGCGGCAACGGAUACGCAGCGGUCGAAUGGUCAGGAAUGGUGGUAGUGGCCGUGUAUGUGUCGCCCAACAGCGAAUGGACAGCGUUCGAGGAGUUCUUGAACGGGGUAGACGACUGCCAUUACGAUUACGAGAUAUAGUAUUACGUUAUAAUACAUUACAUUAUAACGUAUUCCGUUAAAUUGAAUUACGUUAUAUCAUAUUACGUUUUGCCGUUCCUUCACAUACUGAGCAGAAGGCGAACGUUACCAUGAUCGCGGACGGAUAUUAAGACAGGCGGAGUGGGGAUAUGGUAAGAAUAGAAAGGGAGGCAAGUGGAUCAACACAGCAGUUGCCCGUAACCAGUCGUCAGUAGGAAUCGCAACCAGAGAUUUCUGAAGAAGUCGCUGGUCAAGAAAGCAAACGAACUGCGGAACGAAGCGCCGCGUAUUAAGUUGGCAGCCUUCACGUAAUAGAGUACAUUCAGUAAUAUAGUAUUACGUUAUAUAUGUCGGAGAUGAAAGAACACCGGAGUCUGUAAUUGAACAAUUGUAGUUAUUCAAUCCGAUUGUAAUUGUUCGAGAGUUGUGAUAAUGAGCUUGGGCUCGAGGCGACAGUCAGUCGCCGAACGUAGCCGCGGUCACGGGAUGAACGCUUUGUCUAACAAAGGUAUGGAGUAAUUCUAUAGCUCUCCUUAAAAGAAAUAUUCGUGGCGACACGCGACAGUAAACAUUCCAACGGUUUCUGUCCCGUGGCUCGCCACACGCAGACCCUAUUCUUCGAGUAAGAUGAUUACCAGAUGUCGAUGCGUCUCCGCAGUACAUGUUCGGCUAGCCUGAGGACCCGUUAUAAAUCCUAAGAUUUAAUUAACUAAAGUCCUUCAAACAAACAAACAGUCAUUGUCCCAACUACGGGAAAAUAGGGGAGACCUAUUUUUCGACGAGCGGCGUCUCCCACUAGCAACUUUCCAUCGAGGGCGGCUAGCAUCUUUUUCUAACCACCGAUAUGGAGAUUGACCAAUUAGCAGCAACGCCAAUUUGUCUUACUUUCUGAACGAAGGCUUUCCUCGACGAAUCCGAUGAUCUCGUGUCCUUAGACACACCCCAUUAUAGUUUUCCUCUGUGGCAUCAUCGGGACGGGAAAGGCAUUCUCGCUCGCGAUCUCAGUGAUGAAAGGAGUAACUCUUUACAACCAGUGAAUAUUACGCAUCCGACUUAGAUUUCGGAUACCUAGGCAUGUUGGGUCCCAAAGGUGCUAGUGGUAUCAUUGCACUGUUCACGCCCAGUAGUGCCAAGUGCCAACUCCUCCUCCAAGUCGGUGGGGCUGGUAAAUACUGACUUGUCAGUGGCUACGUGGAUGGCGACGUGGCUUAAGAACUCAUCCUGCCCGAGGAAGAGAACAUGCAUCAUGGCGUAAACAAUCACACGUCGCAGACCCGAUCGGGUGUCGUGGCGGGUUAAGCCUUUCGUUACUGGCGGCUUCUCCUGCGUCACAAGCGCUCUGCGCCAAAAAGAAAAAACUUUCCUCGAAACAGGGUAUUUAUAACUUCUUAACACACUCACUUUUAAUUGAAAUUUGGGUAGGCCUACUUUGGGGGGGGGGGGACAAUCGUCUCCCCUAACGCCACAUUUAGUUAGUUAGUUCAUAGGAUAGGCCUAACGAGAAGACGCGGGGAGUGUACCGGCAGUAAUUUCCAAGAGGUCUCGGGCACUGCUGCCAAACGUGUAGGUUGGCCACCGUGGAGUUUUUGUCAGUAGGAGUCUGGCACUACUCCACUAAUUCUCCAGAAUGCAGCGGAGUGUCCAUGAGGAUUUCUCCACGUAGAAGAAAAAAAGAAAGAAGGUGUUGAAGCAUAUAAAUAGGUGAUAUAUCGUAUUUCAAUUCUUUGAAUUUUGUUUGAAUUAUUGUUAAUUACAAUCACAAUUUCUGAUAAUAUCAUGCACACGAUUAAGUGUAACCACGCUCUUAAUCGUCAUCGUUGUCAAUUACAAUUAUAAUUCCAAGUUUACUUACAUUCAUUUUAACGAAACCAAUGUUUAUUGCUAGAACACGCGCAUAUUCGUACAACGAUGUUAAAAAUCUGAGCGUAAUGGAAAUGUACGUACAGCAGAUACUCACAGGAAAAACCAACGAGACUAAUAAUAAAAUCAAUGAAUUAGAAAAAAAGAGCUAUAGACAAAUAUCUUAUAAUAUACCGUGGCAUAAUCUGCAAUUUAUUAUAAAAUAAUUGAUCCCAGCAGUAUCAAUUAUAAAAGAAGAUGGCUGAAUAUGAUAGACACUGUCGAAUACUAAUCAAAUAUAAUCAUUUAGUUAAUCUUUAAGAUUUAAGUUAAGAUACAUCUUUGAGGAAUCAAUAAGUCUUUCGCUAAUAGCCUAAUAGAUCCCUUGAUAGAUCAAACGAAGAAAUACCUAACCGCGAUUACAGCCAAUUGGUACAUAUUAUUCGAUACAUAAUUAAUAUCUGUAUCGCGUACAGCGAUGCAAGUGGUAUUGAAGAAAAUAGCCAUUUUAUGUUACAACUAUAACGAGUAAAUUUACUCGUUUAACUUGAGAGGAAUUAAAAAGGUACCUGACUUUUAAAUAAGCAUUAAAUAAGAAAUUUAAAUAUCGCAGACGGUGAUGUAGGUGUUAUUCAAGAAAAGAGAACAUUUUAUUUUGUAAUUAGCACGAGUAAAUGAACGAAUAUCGAUAAUAUAAUAUAAUGAUUAAUAUGAA